AACAAAGUUAUAGAUACUAUAAAAUGGAUUCCUGCUAGCAAACAAAAUACUAUCUGUUUCUUCGGGAGAAAGAAAAGAAGAAAUAUGCAGGCAAAAUACUGUCUUCUCUUCGUGCUGUUAAUUGGUUCGAUUAUCGCUUCCACGGAUGGCUUUGUGCCCUCGCAAAGGCCGGCUGGAAGGAAGAGGGAGUUUGAGAAGAUCCAACGAGAUUUGUGCCGAGCAGCAAUGCAGGUUCAGUGUUGUGACUUGGCCGAAGAUGAAGGAAUGAAGGGAUGAACGAGAUGUCAAGCUACAGUCGUUAAAUGGAGAUUAAAACAUGCAGAACUAAAAAAAGAACAAAUGACUUAAGUAAUGUUUAAACUGGACUUGAUAUCAUGGAAUUAAAUAUGUCUUAAAUUAAUGUUGAAAAAUGAACAAAAUGGCGAAUCGUGAACGUCAA